CCUACGGGUGGCAGCAGUGAGGAAUAUUGGUCAAUGGCCGAAAGGCUGAACCAGCCAAGUCGCGUGAGGGACGACGGCGCUACGGGUUGUAAACCUCUUUUGUCAGGGAGCAAAACGAGUCACGUGUGACUCAUUGAGGGUACCCGAAGAAAAAGCAUCGGCUAACUCCGUGCCAGCAGCCGCGGUAAUACGGAGGAUGCGAGCGUUAUCCGGAUUUAUUGGGUUUAAAGGGUGCGCAGGCGGGGGUGCAAGUCAGCGGUAAAAUUGCGGGGCUCAACCCCGUCCUGCCGUUGAAACUGGAUGCCUUGAGUGCGCGAGAGGUAUGCGGAAUGCGUGGUGUAGCGGUGAAAUGCUUAGAUAUCACGCAGAACUCCGAUUGCGAAGGCAGCAUACCGGCGCGCAACUGACGCUCAUGCACGAAAGCGUGGGUAUCGAACAGGAUUAGAUACCCGGGUAGUC
rnacentral:rRNA from 1 species